UGUUGGUGGUCGGAGAACGUGAAGAUUAAGCGCAUGUCUAAGUACAGGCCUGUACACGGUGAAACUGCGAAUGGCUCAUUAUAUCAGUUGUGGUUCCUCAGAUCGUUGAAACAGUUUGGAUAACUGUAGUAAUUCUAGAGCUAAUACAUGCGAACGAACUCUGCUCCGCGAGGAGAGGAGUGCUUUUAUUAGACUAAAACCAACGGUGCCCGGCGUCCGGCCUCGGUCGGGCGUCGGCCCUCGGCGAUGGUGACUCUGGAUAACUUUGGGCUGAUCGCACGGCCUCGCGCCGGCGACGUAUCUUUCAAAUGUCUGCCCUAUCAAUUGUCGAAGGUAAGUGAUAUGCCUACCUUGAUUGUAACGGGUAACGGAGAAUUAGGGUUCGACUCCGGAGAGGGAGCAUGAGAAACGGCUACCACAUCCAAGGAAGGCAGCAGGCGCGCAAAUUACCCACUCCCGACACGGGGAGGUAGUGACGAAAACUAACAAUACGGGACUCUUUCGAGGCCCCGUAAUUGGAAUGAGUACACUUUAAAUCCUUUAACGAGGAUCUACUGGAGGGCAAGUCUGGUGCCAGCAGCCGCGGUAAUUCCAGCUCCAGCAGCGUAUAUUAAAGUUGUUGCAGUUAAAAAGCUCGUAGUUGGAUCUCGGGCCGCCGGCGCCGGUGCGGAUCCAUGUCCGUCGACUGGCGUCGGCGCCUAAACGGCGGGACGCGGCGGGUGCCCUUAGCUGGGUCGCCCGCGGCACCCGCCCGAUUUACUUUGGAAAAAUUAGAGUGUUCAAAGCAGGCGUGCUCGCCUGAAUAACGUUGCAUGGAAUAAUGGAAUAGGACCACGGAUCCUAUUUUGUUGGUUUGCGGAGAACGUGGUAAUGAUUAACAGGGACUGCCGGGGGCAUUCGUAUUGCGGCGCGAGAGGUGAAAUUCUAAGACCGUCGCAAGUCAGAUAACGAACGAGACGAACUACUGCGAAAGCAUUUGCAAUCAAGAACGAAAGUCAGAGGUUCGAAGACGAUCAGAUACCGUCCUAGUUCUGACCAUAAACGAUGCCGACUAGCGAUCGGCCGGCGUUGUUUCAAUGACCCGGCCGGCAGCCACCGGGAAACCAAAGUCUUUGGGUUCCGGGGGAAGUAUGGUUGCAAAGCUGAAACUUAAAGGAAUUGACGGAAGGGCACCACCAGGAGUGGAGCCUGCGGCUUAAUUUUCAUUAAUCUUCGUAUUGCGGCGCGAGAGGUGCAGGCCAGGACACCGCGAGGAUUGACCUCUUUCUUGAUUCGGUGGAUGGUGGUGCAAAAAAGCUCGUAGUUGGAGGAGCGAUUUGUCUGGUUAAUUCCGAUAACGAACGAGACUCUGGCCUGCUAACUAGUGCGCCGGUGCGUUUACGCUCGCCGGCGACCACUUCUUAGAGGGACAAGUGGCGCUUAGCCAAGGGCAAGUCUGGUGAAUAACAGGUCUGUGAUGCCCUUAGAUGUUGAGCCGCACGCGCGCUACACUGAAAUAAUCAGCUGAAUUUGACUCAAACCCGAAAGGGCCGGGCAAUCCGUUGAACCUAUUUCGUGCUAGGGACUGGGGCUUGCAAUUGUUGCCCACGAACGAGGAAUUCCCAGUAAGCGCAAGUCAUCAGCUUGUGUUGAUUACGUCCCUGCCCUUUGUACACACCGCCCGUCGCUACUACCGAUUGAAUGGUUUAGUGAGACCCUCGGAUUCGUCCCGGUUUUGGCUGAUCGCACGGCUGCGCCGCGGUCGCGAAGAACGGUCGAACUUGAUCAUUUA
rnacentral:rRNA from 1 species